UGGACAGGAAAGGAUUGGUUGACAUGUUUUAUGAGACGUCACCGUUUAUCCUGCCGAUCGCCAAAAGCCACAUCAAUAGGCAGACAAACAGCCUUCAACAAGCACACUGUAGGAGAGUUUUCUGACAACCUCACCUCAGUAAUGGAAAGAUUUAAAUUCCCACCCAACAUGAUCUACAAUCUGGACAGGCAUCACUGAGACGCAGAAGCCCAAGCUUGUAGUCACCCAGAGGGGGAAGAAGCAAGUUGGUUCAGUGACAUCUAAAGAAAGAGGGGAGCUCAUCACCCUGAUAUGUGCAGUGAAUGCCAUUCCACCAUUAUUCAUCUUCCCUCGUGUGCGCUACCGUGAUCAUUUUAUCAGAGGUUCUCCCAUUGGUUCAAUAGGCUGUUCCACAAAGUCUGGUUGGACAAAUCAAGAUAUAUUUGUCCAAUUUCUCAAGCACAUUAUCAGUCACACCAACUGCUCUCCAAGUGCAAUGCAAUCCCAUGUGGCACUGGAGGCUGUCAAUGUGGCAAAGGCGAAUGGGGUAGUGAUGUUAACCCUCCCUCCCCACACCUCACAUGAACUCCCACCGCUCGACAAAUCCGUCUUUGGCCCACUGAAGACGUAUUACAACACUGCGGUCGAUGGAUGGAUGAGAUCAAACCCUGGGAAGGUCAACACCAUCUAUGACAUCCCAGGGAUGGUUAUGACGCUUCAUGUCCGCAAUGACGCGGCAAAAUAUCUUGUCAGGCUUCCAUGCGACUGGAAUCUUCCCUUAUAAUAGGGAAACAUUUACGGAUGCUGAUUUUGAGUCAGCUGAGGUCACAAACCGACCCAACCCAGAGGAGCUAGCGACACCUGCGGACCCAUACCAGGAGCCAGCUACAUCUGUGGACCCCAACCAGGAGCCAGCUACAUCUGUGGCCCCCAAUCAGGAGCCAGCUACAUCUUUGGGCCCUAACCUAGAGGAACUACCACCUGCACCUGGAACUCCCCUUUCAGUCCAGUCACCCUCUGAAACUAAUUCUGGUGACCAUUCCGGGGGAUAUAGGUCUCCUGAGACUAUCAUCCCGCUGCCAAAAGCAGCACAAAGAAAAGUAAAACAAAGAAGAAGGAAGAGGGUUAAAACAAGGAUUCUGACAGACACCCCAGAAAAAGACGAGUUGGAAAGAGUAGUGAAAGAAAGAGAAAAGAAGAAAGCAAAAGUCUGCAAGAAAUUCCUGUGUGUGUGAAAAUUCCUGAAGAAAGCAGCUCUGAUGACAACACAGGCAUGUUGUUAGAUGACAGCCCUGACAGCCCUAGCCUUACUUCUGACGAAGAGGACCAAACAUUGAAAGCCGGGGAUUAUGUGGUUGACAGAUUUGCAGGGAAGAAAAGAACCCACUACUACAUUGGUCAGGUGGUAAAACUGGAUGAUUGUGAGGUGGAAGCAAGGUUCCUUCCAAGAACCCGCUCAACCCACGGGUCUAACAGGAGACCAACCUUUGUCUUCAACGAAAAAGAUGAGGCUGUCCUGCCACGACAAGAUGUGGUGAAGAAACUGCCCCAACACAGAUAAUUAAUUCACAUAUCAAAUAUCAAUAAAAGAUUCAAUUAAUGAAUCUGUUCACUGGAGACAGCAGUAAAGUCUAUUUUGAAAAUAUAAAUUUAAUGUUUAACCCAAUUACUCUUAGUCUUUGAAAAAUGGUGCCCUUUAGAAAACUCCUAUUUAUCCCUUCUGUAUUCCACUGGUUUACUGUUAUUGUGAGUUUUACAGUUUAUUUGCACAAUAACAAAUCUCAAGUUAAAUGCCGUUAACAAGAGCAGGUACAGGUUUCUGCUGUUCUGUGAUUGAAGAAUCUUUGAAAAAAAGUGUGUGUAUGUGAACUGUUACAUUUUGACCAAUGUGAGUUUGCGUGUUGCCUUGUAUGGGAGCACUGGUGUAAAGUAUCUAAGUUCAUUUACUCAAGUACUGUGAUUUUUGACGCAUAACGUAUAUUAUAACUUUUGCUACUUUAAGUAUAUUUUGAAGCCAAUAUUUUCGUACUUUUAAUAGAUUAAUAUUUUGAUUCCAAUAUUUUUACUCCUAACAGAGUAUCCAUGGUCUUCAAAGAUUCAAAAUUAUUUUUGUAGCAGACGUAUUUGUAUUGGUUCUGGUUUUAUUUAAUGCAACUAUUCAGAAUUCAUGUACAGCUCAUGUUCCAUUGUCAUUGUGCAUUGUCUGACCCAGUCAUUGUGAUGGUCCAUCUUAUUGGUCAGAUUUUCUUUAGAGAUAUGGAUGUUGCUAGUAGAUACAUUGCUGUCCAGAUAUGCCAAAUAUUUUUGUAAGGUCUGUCAGGUGCCUCUCAUGUUUGUCCACUAGAGGACGCUACAAUGUUAACUUUACUCUGUAAAAUGUCCUGCUAUAGACUCUAAAUAUACCAUAAAGGUCACAAUCCAUUAAAAUAAAUAACUAAAAGGCAA